CUUCAGACAGAGGUAGCAGUUAAAAGUCCUGUUGGGGUCCACAUGGAUCAGGGGUUGACCAUCAGAUUAUUCUGUGAUAAAUCCAUAACCAGGAAGUGUUUCUCAUCUACACAAAUUGAUGCACAGUCGGGAGUCCGCAUAUGGUGUUUUAUUUUGAAAUACCGGAUGACAUGCACGGUUUUCGUGCUUGACUUCCUGUCUAGGGACUGACGCACAUUGGAAGCGUAGAGCAGCAAAAAUAGGCUUGGUGCGAUGGAGCUUAUACGCAUCCUAUAUGCUUUACUGCAUUGAUUAGAAUGGGAACCUAUUUGCUGCGUGAUACGUGACGCUGCUGCCACGCUCUAAAUACGCAUCCUGUAUGUUUGAGCCUUAAGUGUUGAUGCCUGAGUAGGUAUCAGCAGAGGAAACAGCUCUUUUUUUCCUACAUUUUGGACGUUAAAAACUCACAAAAAAUGAUACAUUUAUUGCAACAAAAAGCAAGGACUAUUUUGUCCACUGGGGGCGCCAUAGCUGACACAAAUCAAAAGUUUCUCACAGGAGCUUUUAGGAAACAGCUGAUUCAAAUAGGCAGUAUGUUUUUAAAUGAGAAAAUGCUGACCUGUUCUAUGGCGAAUAAUUGCCUCAAUUUAAUUUGUGUAAAAUGUAUUUAUUUUACAUUUAUUUUGAAACAUUAUUUCAUUCAGAUACAUUUAGAGAGACGUUGUUUUGCGGAGAGUAAUAACCAUUAGUGUGUAUUAUUGCAAGUGCUGAGAGGAGGAAGAAAGUAGUGCCCAGAGACGCUGCAGACAUGAGCAUGAAUGAAUGUCUUUGAAAUUACUGACUAACACAUGAGUAAGAGUGAAUAAUAGGGAAAAUAUUAUUUUUGAAAACCAAAGUGCCAGUUGAUGUAUGAAAGUUGCUCACUGAUUUAUUUGAGUGUAUAAAUGGUAUGUGACGAGUCAGUCUGCAAAGGUGAAAAAAACGUGAUCUCUGCACUCCCAGACUCAUUUUUUCUCUCUCAGACUUAACUGCUUUGUGAGCUGUGGUCCUGUGUGUCAGCUAGAAAGUAUAAACAUGAGCACAGAGGCCCUCGAAGUCUUGAAAAUAAGCUUAGUUAUUUGAUUAUACAGCAGGAGACUGGAUUAUAUAAUUACACAACAGAAACAGAAAGAACUUUUCACUCUUUAAGUGUAUAUUUGCUCUCCGCAGAAAUAAUCCCAAAGAUACCACAUUAGAGGUUUUCCAGGUUUUCCAAGAGCCUUUUGGAACAAUGGUUUUGGAGUUUCCUUAUUUUAGCUAUAAAAAUAUUUUAGUUCGAAGAAACUAAUUUUAUCCAUGAAAACACCAAAAAGUACAUUUGGCAAGCAUCUGUUUGUAUGAUUUGCAUUAAGCCCACUGCGGAAGCUAACAAUAUUGGCUUCCCCAAUUUUGUAAAUUAUAUGGGAGAAAGUACAAGGCCUUAAAUCUAAAAUGGGUUGUUGUUGGCGUAGGUGAACAUGUUCUGGCAGAACAAAUUGUAAUAGUUUAUUUUAUGAAUACAGUUUUUCUGGACGCAGUGCCUUGGGAGCGGAGACGAGCAAAGUAAGCUCAUGUUGUGUGGGCAGCACAGAGCUGACCUCAGGAUGGGAUAAAAGUUCUGACUGUGCUCUAACAUUAACCAGUCAAACCAGUGCUUGAAGCGUUUUACCAUCAGUCCACAUAAACAGCUUUAUAUUGAUUGUGAUGUUUAUCAAUAUUUCUGAGUUAUUACUCUCAAACAAUCAGCAGAUUCAGUAAAAUUUUCACUGGUUUUAGUUUCCAAGACAACCACCUAAGAGCACUGCUUUUGAGGCGUCACUGAUGAUGUCUGUCUGUCAGUAAUUAUAACAGCAACAACUGGCUGGAUUAUAAUGUGAUUUUAUUGAGUAUUUUACCUCUCAGUGUGAAUUAUUGUUUCUUUUUUGACACCUCACCUGUGAUUUGUGUCUAGUUCUCAUUGUCAAAUGUUAGCGUGUGUCCUGGUAUGAGAAGUUUUAUGUCUCUUAGCUAUGUUAAUGUUUGUAUGCAGACAGGCAAAACUUCAUAUUCUCCUUUAUAAAGAUUACAACAGAAUCAGUCUGCGCUCAAAGCAGUAAAUAAAGCAUUACUACUUUAAAACAAGCUUAAUGUCAAGCUUAAGUGAAAAUACAGGCCUUGUCUCCCAACCAAAGUUUGGAGCAGCUAACCAGGAGCCUGCAGAAGGUGCCAGAGGAAAGGCCCUCUUAAAGGAAUAUUCUGGCAUAAAAUUUAUUUAGGAUCAAACACAUCAUAAAACUGAGUGUUACUUUAUCAUUUCCUUUAAGUAAUAUUUACCAUAUUAAUCAUUUUGCACUGCAGACGCGGUAGAUCUUCUGCCUUAGCGUCUCGGUCUGAUUGCAUUUCCAUGAAGAAAUGAUCAUAAAUGUUCUUCCUUGAGCUGCGUCACCCCGCUGUAGUCCGUAAUGGACUGGCCAAUGGUCUUGCUACAAACAAGUGACUGCUGGAAGAGAGUAGGUGAGUUAUGUUUAGUCUCUUUGCUAAAGAAAUCAGGCAAAGUUAAAAAGAUGUUUGAUGGCUGGGACCCUAUAUGUACUGUUGAUGAAGUUAGGUGCUGACUUUUGUUUUUGUGAAAUUAAGUAAGUGGUAUAUUUUGUGCAGCCCAACAUCUAACUGUGACCUUGGUGCUAUGGUGUUUGUAAGAGUAAAAAACUUGUGCUGUUUACAACUGGUAUAGCUGAAAACAACUAACAACAACUGACAACAGCUAACAACAGCUGACAAUUGUAAACAGCAGCUAACAGUAGGCGUCCAUCUUGGUUUUCUGACUUGUUUACUGGAAAACCGUCAACUUGGGUGUAACGUCAUUCCCAGCUCCGACAUCCGACUUCUGAGGUAACUGGAACGCAGCAUUAUUUCUUAAACUGUUUCAUACAGUCGAGCUUCCUUCUACCACCACUGAAUUUGACACUUGCAGGUCUUUCAAAAGAAUGCUGGUUUUAGGCUGUUCCCCAUGUCCUUCGCUUUUGAAACCCAAGGCUUUGCCUCAGUGAAGCCACAAUAAGAUCACGUCCUCCUUUUGACCCUGUUUGAAAAUAUUCCUCAAGUGGCAGAAGCAGAACAAAUCUGUUCCUGUUUGUUCCUGUUCCUGGUGGACUAGUGCGAGCCUCAUGUCAGUGGUCUCCCCAGGCCUUGAAGUUGCACCUGACCGCUCCUCCCAUCUGCCUGACCCCAUCUGUCUCCACCUUGUCCCCAGUUUGGAGCGGCCCACCCUCUGCCUGUCUCAGCUCUGCAUGCAAAGAAGCCCCGGAUCUUGCCUGGGAGGAAGUGGAAUGUUUUUACUGGGAAGUUUGGGAUUAGACAAUCAUUGCAGGAUUUUCAUUCCAUCUCUUGGUAGCUGCACUGCAAAGGAAGCCCCCUUUUUUUUUCUUACAUAAGUGAGCCAUCGCCAAUGUGGAUUAAUGAGCUUUAUCCCAUGCAGAGAAAACAAACUCGACUGCUGUCCAAAUAUUGCUGAACAGAGUGUCAGACAGCAAACUACAGCAGGGUCUUGUUAAGGACACUGUCUCUGUUACACUAUGAUUCACAGCCAUGGGACAAUUUUGAAGUGAGUUUUAUCCCCUGACAUUAUUAAUCUUAUCUGUCAGAUGAUUUCUGUUGGGUCUAAAACCUGCAACAAAUGACUGAAAACACAUAAAGAAGAGAAAGACAAUGGUUUAGAUUACUUACUCGAGGAGAAUGGGCAGAGAUAGUUUCAGUUACAAUUUCAAAAAAACAAUCCAAAUUUAGUUACCCAUAAUUUGAGGAAUUGUAACUUUUCGGGCUUUUUCUGAAAGACUUUCCAGUCUUGACAUUUUAGUUCUACUAAUUUUGCCUUACUGGCUUCCGUCCCCAUUUUUAUGUGUUUUGGUCCAGCUUAGGUGACACCUAGGGUGUCCUAUUAAGCUGGGUUCUUUCAAUGGGGUAGUGAUAAAAAUUCCUUAUGUGGUAAUUCUCGCUUCUACUCUUGCAAGUGGAGAAUUCUUGCCUUUGCUUCCACAAUAAGGUCACUACUUACAAUCCCACUGUUUUGGUAUGAAUAGGAUAUAUCUAGUGAUAUAUCACUAUUCCAAUCACACUUUUAACACGUGUUUUGGUUUACAGAAUUUAAACUUUUCCAAUUAGGCCUUUGUCCAUGGCUUUAUAGGACCCGCACGUCCUUUGUCCACGGCUUUAUAGGACCCACGCGUCCUUUGAUUUAAAUUGUCUGUAUAUCUAUCAUCCCAUCUAUAAUAUUUCGCCUUUCAUAUUUAUUACUCAUUUCAUAUUUAUUACUCAUUUCAAUAGCCCAUGUUCUUUAUAUCACACUUUUAUCUCUUAGGAUGUUUAGCAUAUUUAGCCUGUAUAUAUUGUAUAUACUUAGUAUUUUUAUUAUUUUUAUUCUGCAUUGUACUUACUUCUUCUUAUAUUUAAUUUUAUUUUGUAUUUUCUUUUUGCUGCUGUAACAAGAGAAUUUCCCAGUUUGGGAUCAAUAAAGUAUAUCUAUUUAUCUAUCUUUAUAAAAAAAUAUAUAUUUAUCUCCUCCAAGUUUAGCACUUCUUCCUCCUCUGUCUCUUCUCUGUUCACACUUUCUCUUCAUUUCUGUCGAAUAACACUUGCUGUCUCUCCCUCUUCUAGUCAUGCUUGAUACUUUUUUCUACAGCUCUUCACCUCGUGACCAAAAACUCUGCAAUUCUCUGAUGUUGUGGUUCAUGACCUCGGUCAGGGUACUGUUCUUCACCUCUCUGCUCUUGUGAUUCAUAACCUUUGUCAAAACUUAUACUUCCUCUAUCUCCUUCUCUAUUGAAAUUCCUGCCUCUGCUGUUCUCUGCACUUUACUAUGGUUACUUCUUUAAGUUCCAAUAAGGUAUAAUAUCAAUCAGUUGGCUCAAAUGUUUAACAGGGAUGCCAGCUGAGGUCAGGAAACCUCUUCUUCUCCAGCAACACGUCUACAUGUACAACUUACACUUCGUAGACUGUAACAGUUUAGUCGCAGUUUUGUCUUUUGAUAGCUACAUGCUUCUGCAUAGGGAGGGAUUCUUUGGCUGCUGUGACUCUGGAGGAGUCAAGGGCGUAACUGGCCUCUGAUGAAUCAUUUUAUCAUUUGUGCAGAGAACAGAGACUGUACAGAAAAUUUAACUUGAUAAAAAUUUGCAUAUUACUUCUAUUACACUCUAUAGCCACAAAUAAUGCCUAGAACAGCACCUAACUUCAUCAAAGGUACAUAUAGGGUCCCAGCCACAGCACUAGCCACCAAACAUCUUUUUAACUUUGCCUAAUUUCUUCAGCAAAGAGACUAAACAGAACUCACCUACUCUCUUCCAGCAGACGCUUGUUUAUAGUGAGACCUUGGACAAGUCCAUCACCGACUGCAGCGGGGUGACGCAGCUCAAGGAAGAACAUUUAUGAUCGUUUCUUCAUGGAAAUGCAAUCAGACCGAGACGCUAAGGCAGAAGAACUACCACAUCUGCAGUGUAAAAUGACUAAUAUUGUGAUUAUCACUUCAAGGAAAUGAUAAAAACUGAUCAUAAAUGUUCUUCCUUGAGCUGUGUCACCCCGCACCAGUCUUUAAUGGACUGGCCUGAUGUCUCGCUUCAAAGAAGCAGCUGCUGGAAGAGAGUAGGUGAGUUGUGUUUAGUCUCUCUGCUGAAUUAGGCAAAGUUAAAAAGAUGUUUGGUGGCUAGUGCUGUGGCUGGGACCCUAUAUGUACGGUUGAUGAAGUUCUGAGCAUUAUUCGUGGCUAUAGUGUGGUGUUUUGGUUGAGGUUUGUUAAUGGCUCCUCAGGCUGCUGUGUAUUGCUAUCCUGCGGUCAUUACUAAAGUUGGUAUAACUAGAGAAGCAAGCAGUGAGCAACAUUCAUCUCUUAGAGGGGUGUCUAACUUGGUGUUACAGUGUGUUUAACCCAAAUUAAUUUUACGCCGGAAUAUCCCUUUAAAUGUAAAAGUGUGAAUUCCCCAGUGCAGAUAAUUUCUAAACUAUCUUACAUCUAUGAAUACCCACCAACACUCCUUAUCAUGAACAUGCUUCUCUGUUUACUUUGUGUUAUGGAAUAAAUCCGAGUAUAUGACAGGGAGAGAUGGAAAUCUCUUUUCCACGCAGGAGACCCCGGGGAACUUCCUGUAUUUUCGUAACCCGGAUGAGAAGCUGUUGAUAACAGGAGUGUGUGGGUGCCAGCAGGGAUGGUGACAUUAGCGACAACUCAGAGGAAGAGGAAGUCAAUCAGCAAAGCGAGAGGGAGGAAGACAAUAGCUUUGUGGCAUGAGAGGAAAGCCAAGCGUGGAUAGUGGAUGUAAACACACACAGACACACAGGUAUCUCUCUUUGCAGGCUGGAGGGAAUAAAGAACUGUGGGCACACAUGUAUGCAUGCGUGCUUUAUGAGCGUGUGUAUGUGCAUUUGCAUUUCUGUGUGUAGGAGUGUGGGAUCACGCAGUAGUCUGUUUCGCACCUGGCUGGACCAGUAGUGAGUCAGCAGUGGUAAGUGGUGAGCUGUAUUAGUGCUGGACGAUAAUUCGAUAACAAUAUAUAUCGAUCGAUAGACGUGUGGAGCGAUAGAAAAAAAACGGGUCGAUAAAAAGUUCGAUAGAAAAACACAGUUUCCCUUUCUUUUUCAUCAUAGCCUAUCAUGUAGCUUUUACUACAGUCAUUACUUCCUCCCAACCAAUCACAAACGCAGACCCAGGUACGCUACGGCACCAAGCCCAGCCCCUAUCAAACCACAACAGACAGCACGUGUAUUAGAAAUAAUGUAACAGCAAGGAGAAGCGGAGGAAAUUGUCCCGAAAAAAGGUUUCAGUAGCUCACCAACAUGGCAAUGUUUUGGUUUUUAGAAGUCUGACAAAAAGCAAACAGCGGUCGUUUGCAAAAUUUGCAGAGAAUUAGUAAAAACCAAGUCCGGUAACACAACCAACUUGUUUUACCAUCUAAACCGGUCGCACCCGCAGGAUUACGAGCUGUGUCGGCCGCGCCGCGGCUCCACGUCGUCGUCGGAGGAAUCCUCUGGAACCGCUGUUGGCACCAGCACAAAGCAAGUGAAGCAGACCAAACUGGACUUCGUUUCUUGCCAAAAUACGACAAAGCGUCCAAGCGGCAUAAGGACAUCACCCAUGCAGUAACAUGCUCCAUAGCGAGGGACAUACUGCCAAUAACUACCGUUGAAAAGCCUGAAAAGCCUCGACCAGCUUCUAGCCACUCUCGACCCGCGAUAUGAAGUGCCCGGCCGCAAGUAUUUCUCAAACACAGCGCUUCAGGCAUGAAAAUGGGUCAGGGGUUGAAAAGGUGAGAAGGGUGCGGAGGAAAUACGCUCCGGUGUAGCUUCUUAAAGUGGAAGAAAAUGAGCUCAUAUUUUACAAAGACGCGAGUAUUUGGAUCAUGGCUACUAGCAGGGGGGGCAUUCGGCAGGGGUGCAUUCUACGACACAACACCGGCGUGGAUAAGUCCUGCUUCUCGUGCUUAGUUUGUUUAUUAAGUCAAUCACAUGAUAUUUAAAAAAAAUAAAUCUCCCGACCCCAGGAGAAAUAUUUCAGUGUUCAGACACCAGGCUGUGGGCAGUUUCCCACACAGUUAAAACUGGUAGUAUGCUAUUCCCACCUAAAGCUAUUCUGUUUAUUUAUAUAUUUGUUUGUUUUGUUUAUUUUCAUCAAAAGACUAUUUAAAUAUUUAUUUAUCAGAUUUUCUGGUCACUUUAGUCUUUAUGUUUGUCAGUAUUUACUGACGUCACUCAGGCCACUUAAGUUGAUUUUUUUUUUUUAAGUUCUUUUUUAAAAAAACUUUCAGUUGUGGUAAAAAAAAAAAAGGUGGUUGAAUAAAGGUUUGAAUUUGAAUUCAGUGCUUGUGUGUUCUUUAUUAAAAGUAGGUCAUUAAGCAAUAGCAUAAAACAUCCAGGGCUGCAAUUAAAAUAUAUGUUAAAUAAUUAUAAUAAUUAUAUCGAUAAUUAUCGAUAUCGAUCAAUAUGAUUUAUUUUUUAUCGAUAUGCUUUUUUUCUAUAUCGUCCAGGCCUAAGCUGUAUUCCCUGUCACACAGCUAAAAGUUGUGUUAACCUUUAAGACAAAAGGCUGUGACGUGUGUGGGCUUCUGCUAAUCCUGUGAGGGAAGCCAACUGAAUGUCAUGUAUUCUUCUAGCAGCCAUCAAAAUCUGAUUGAAAGUGUGUGGUCCACGUUUCUCAGGAAACAGCAAGUGGAACUCAACUGUGAGGGCAUUUGGUCUUUGGUCCUCUGCUUGCUUUUUUUCCUCAUAUUUACCUUGACCUCAGCUCAUAUUGAGAGACCCCCAGCACACUGUACUUCCUAAAUAGUCUGCCAUUUUUAUCUACUUUUGUUUGUCUUCAGAAUUUAACUUGACAAGACUAAUUCUACAUUUACAUCCAAUACCACAGCUAAGUCUCCCGUGAAUAAUAGUUAGAAUAACAAUAAUCAUAACGGUUUUCAGUUUUCUUCUGGACAUUUGCAGCAGCAGCAGGCUCGGCAAGUUGACUCUGACAUCCUUCUCUCCAGGAAUGUCCUCCAAGACCAAAUAUGUAAAAGCUCUGUGUCCACCCGCAGUCUUUUUAUAGUCGUACAUGCCUGGAAAAUCUCCAAACCAGGGCGAUGAAGAGUUCGAUUUAUCAUAGGCCCAAACCACCUCAAUUUUGUGCCUUUAAUGUGACAGCAUAGUGCACCACUCUGGGUUUUCUGAAUUAGGGUUGUCUCAGUUUCAGAAUUUUCUUUUCUUGUUAUUAAUUAUGAAAACAUCAUAAAUAAGAUUAUUUGAGAGAAAAAUGCAUAACUCAAACAAAAUAUCCUCUGUAUCAGUGUGUGUCACUGUGUGCGUCUGCAGAGGGUGUGGCUCUCUCUCUGUAUUGUCUAAUCUUCUCACAAAUGUGGUCAUUUUAUGAGCAUCAGUCAUUACAUCAGUACGGCAGUGUUGAGCUCUGAAAUCACAGAGUCUUUGUGCUGUCUGCAAAAUACCUAUAUGCAGUAUGUUUUAUUUUAGAUGCUUAAGGACUUAACAAAACUGCAAUAUUGGCCAACCUGUAAAUUAGGAGAUUUGAUGGUAGUGGCUGCAGCAGUGAAUCAGAAGCAAAGAAACACACGAGCUGCGUUUACAUGGGCACAAAUAAUUGGAAUAUAUGCCCGAUAGGAUAUGCGUCAUGUAAACGUGUCAAUCAGAAGAUUCUGAUUCAAUUCGGCUCAAUUGGAAAGAAAUUGUAUUCUGAUCAAGAGGGGUGAUUUAUGCCGAUCGUUAUUCCGAAACGUGUCCAUGUAAACACUUAUUCCUAUUGUGACUCUCUUACCUUUGGCUUUAGCCUUUUGCUCAUUUAUUGAGGCCAUUUCAUAAAGUUCAUAUAAACAGUGGAUUCAGAUUAUCUGAUCACUCAGUGUUUUAAUCGAAUAAAGAAAUUUUGCACAUGUAAACAUGGCUAUUGACAAAUGCAAGUUCAGUUACAACCAAACCAAAUCCAGCACAGUCCUGCACUUUUGUGUGGAAGUGUAGUUCUUUAAGGCGUUAACCAAUCAGAAAAUACCUUUUUGUUUUUUCCGAUAUCAAAGUAUCAAAAUUUAUUACAGCCUCACUCUGGAUGUCUGGGUCCGAAACUUAUUUUUAUGCUAAUCAAAUUAUUACUGAUGCUGCACCAACAUGUCUGUCAAUCUUAUAAUUCAAUGUACCUUCACUCAUGAGUAGGGCCGCCAGUUACUUGAACUCUGUAGCUUGAGGCAGAAAGUCAGUCCCACUUAGUCAUUCAUUGUUUUUAGCAGACUUGCGGGUGCUGAAUUUCAUCCCAUAAACUGUCAACUUGCACCAAGAGAAUGGAAUCACAUCAGUCCCAAAAAGGCGAGACAUAGUUGUGAGGUUCCCAAAUCAAACACUCUCCUUCCCUGGAUUCAUCUCAAAACACCACUGUGAAUCUCUGACAAGGUGGACAGGCUUGAAGGCUAAAACAGAGUCUGGCUUGUAGCAGUGGCUCUGAAACUAGACUUUUAAAAGAGGACAUAACCAAGUUCUUCAAGUCUUGACAGCACCAAGUGGACGUGUGGAUGAGUGAACUCCACAUUGUCCUUUUAGCAACCCUGCAAGGGUAAAGAGGCGAUCCUCUGUUUAAAGGCUAUAAAAGAAUUAAGAUCACUCCCCCUGUUUUAGCACGAGAGGUAAUCCUCCAAAAUCCUUAUCUGCAUUGAAAUGUAGUUCACUUUGGGAAGUAUUUAAGUAUUUGAUCAUUCUUGUUUCUGCUUAGUGUGAGGAUGUUUUAUGUUUUUUGAGGGCAACUC